CCGAGGCGUAGCGUGAGGUGGCAGGGAAGUAGCGGAAUUUUACCACAGGGUCAUUGUCGUUAACGUCCAGCAGCUGAAUCAGCGCCUCAGCGCGCCCGGUGAGAGAAGGCACGCCUCGAUCCAUAGCCUGCACGGGUCAAGUGCAAGUCAUUUCAAUAUCUCACAGUUGACAGCUCCCAUUUGUAAAAGGAGGACAAUCAAGGCCACGUGGAAAAUUUUUGGAGAACCCACCAAGAUGCUGGAAUUCUCCAAGUGGAUUUGCCUGAUGGAGACAUUUAAAGUUCAUUGACUGCAUGCACCUCAAGGGCAGUUUAUGCUCAGAGACCUGGACAGCUGAAGAACUAGCUGAGAAACAUUCUUCAAAAGGACAAAAAAAAAAAAAAAAUGAAUCAUACCCACCACUGUCCAAAUAUUCUGCAUACUGAAGCACUGCCUGUUUUGAGUUGAGGCUUUCCUGUGAUCGAAACCUUUUCCUGGCCACAUUGAUCUUGAUUUCGUUCAAGGUAAACCACAGCAAGCUACAUACUAAGGCCAGGUAUCUUACUGAAAAUCAUGCCAGUUUUUAAAAAUAUGUACAGCUGCAGAAGCUCAUAUUAAGCAGUUGCAAACUGCCAAAGAGAAAAAUAUAGCCAAGACCACACUAACUAAAGCACCGAAGACUGGCCUUGGGAACGGCCUCACUCCAUUUAUUCUCAGGAGCCCCAUAUACCUGGACUUCUCCAUUCUUCAAGGAUACUGGCCAUGCAUCAAUGCGCUGCACCAUUUUAGGGCCAUAUAAAUAACAACCCUCUUUUCUCUUUUUGAGUUCUGAACCAACUCUGAAAUUAGACAUUGGGGUAAGAUAAAAGGAGAGCUAUUACCCACUUUAUUAGGGAUAUAAUUAAAUUAGAAAGCGAAUGUUGGAAUUAGAGUCAAAAUCAGGCUUUGAGUAUUUCUCCAAAUUACACCUCUUUCCCCCAGAUCUCUGCUCUGUGUAGCAGCCAUGGUCUCAGAAGAAAAUUAAGUUAUUUAAAUAAGGUCUAAUAUAGGAACUACUUAGUAGCCCAUGGCCAAGGCAUAGGAAUGCUUACAAAUCAUGGACUGGUCCACAACAGAGUAAGAGGGGGAGGCCCACAAUUGUGAACCGAAGGGAAGGCAGUAGGAAGCAGGCCAUAGGAGAUGAGUUCUCUGGUUUAGCUGAUCCAGCUAUAAAAUAUGCAGAGCAGUACCAGUGUUUUAAUUUCCUUCUGUCUAAUACCUAUAUCGAUUUCAACACUGGUUGAGAACUUGGAGGGGAGGGGAUUAGUGUUAUUCAUUAUCCAUCUCACUACCAGCAAAAUUUCCCCAGCUUCCCCUGGGGCUGAGUUUCCACUUCCAAUAAUUUUCUUUUUUCUUUUUUGAUGAAACUUUUUUGCCAAUCUGUCGAAUUAUCAUUGUGCAAUAUUAUGUCACCCUAGAUGUAUUUCCCAAUCAAUAACUCUUCUUGAUUCCUAAGGUUAAGGGCAGAGGUGUGGACACUUAAAGUCAUUAUGUCGGUUUGUUUGAGAGCUCUUACCGAAGACUUAUAGAGAAGGAAGGAGUUAUAGUUCAAAAGCACAAAUUAGAAUCAAAUAUGACACUUAAGAUGUUACAUAUAUAUUAGUUGUAUAUUAAAAUCACUAUGCCUAAACAAUUCUUCAGCUACUAUAAGCCAUAUAUAUCUAUAAUUUCAUCAAUAAUAUAUUGCUAUUUUAUGUGUCUAUACAGUGCUUUUUUAAAGUUCUCUGUUCUCUUAUUUUUCUUUAAACCAAAUUCAUUGCAUUUUGCUUUAUAUAGCAAUUUGACAAAUGCUUUAUUCUGUCUUUCUUUUUAUAGUAUACCUGCUUUUAAUAUGUAGCUGAACCAUCAAAAUAUUUCCUUCAGGAAGUUUAUGCCUUUAUAAAGAGAAUUAUGGUGCCAAUUAUUAACUUCUAGCUAUACUAGAAAAAAUUAUGUGGCUAUUAAGUCUUUGAAAUACAACUAGUGUCAGGCAAUCAGGUAUGUCAGCUUCUCUGUGAACUAACUCCAGUUUACAGAUCGCUCAGUCAUUUGUCUAAGACCAUGAAACUCAUAAGUGAUAAAUUUGGAAUUUGAAAAAGUCAUUCCUAUGGAGUUUUCUGGUGGCCUAGAAGUAAGGAUUUGGCAUUAUCACUGCUAUGGUGCAGGUUCGAUCUGCGGCCAAGUAACUUCCACAUGCAGUAGGGGAAGCCAAAAAAAAAAAGUCAUUCCUGGAUUUUAUAACUUAAUAAGUUAGUAUGAUGGUCAUUCAGUACAAAAACCAAGCAGCAUAUUUAGCUAUAUGGCAUGUGGGGAAAAAAAUAAAAGGUAGCUCAGUGUCUCACAAAUCUAAAAAAUUGAAAAAUAAUAUUAUUGCAGAUCCAAGUAUCAGAUUGAACCCACAACCUCAUGGUUCCUAGUCAGAUUCGUUAACCAUUGAGCCAUGACGGGAACUCCCCAAACAUUUUUUUAAGAUGUCAAAAAUCUUUAAUGACUCUUACAUAAUAUUUUCAUAUUUUUUCACAACCCAAAACUGAAGGAAUUGCUUUGAGUUUAAUUAUUCAACCCAUGCAUAGUUCAUUUUAACAGUCACUAGCUAUUGUAGAUGGAAUGAUUUUUGAUGCUCACACACUAGAUAGCUAUGAACCAGAUGCUUUUUUUAAUGGCUAGAUGGUUUGACAAUAUUUGAAAAAUGAAAAUGACUACCAAGAAAAACCUUCACUGUCAUCUUUAUUUCUUUGUCUAAGAUCAAAAUUAACACAAAUUUUUGUAAAUUCUUAUAGGUACUCUCAAAGCCUUAUGGAUCUAGCCUAAGACCAUCUGAGCUGAACAGAUCCAAUCAGUCAGUGCAGGAACAGUCUAGACAUUAAAGGAUUAUAUUUUAUAUUUAUUUGUAUACCGAGAAUAAACCAUAAAACCUAGAUGAUACUUUUCACCAAGAAAAUUACCUAAAUUUUUGUGUUGCUGCCAUGUAGCUUGCUUUAUUUUGUAAGGCAAAUUUCCCAUAACUAUAAAUGCAGAGGCUUAUGCAGUUAUCUAGCAAUCUAAUAAAAUAAAUCUGCUUUGGCUUCAAUCUUAUGGACUGGUUUCCAGGACCUUAUUAUUACAGGAAAAUUAUAUGGCUCUUCUCUUUGUUUUGGCACUGGUGAAAAAGAGCACAAUGAUGGUGACUUUGUGACCCUUUCAGAAAUAUAAUCACUGUUCAUUUUUUUAUGAAGUAAGUAAUUCAUGGACAAAAUCCUUAUUCUGCUUUUGACAUAAUAAUAUUUGUGUACUUCAUUUUCCCAGAUUAAAAAAAUAAUAAUUCAACGGUACUUGGAAUAGAGACAUUCUCAUAGAAAUAAGCCGAGCUGAUUGUUUUUGGAAAGAGGGCCUCCUCAGUAAAGCUGGGGAUAAAUGUCACCCAGGAAAUGACAAGUAGUUUGAUUUUAGUUACUCAAACAGAUCUUUGUUCUCUGUGUUUCUCUUCCUGGACACCAUAAUAUAAACCUAGAACUUGUGUAUUUUCAAAUACGUAGUGUUUUUAUAUUAGAAAACCCUAGUCUUUGUACAGACUUCUUUAUUUAUAAGUAGAAAGGCACAAUGUUAUUUACAGGAUGCAUAUAGACAUUAAAAGAACAGAAACUCAUUUUUGUAGAGGGUAAAUAUUUGAGAUAUUGAAUGCAAUGGGAUAUUACAGCAAAAGCCUUUGAAGACUUUUCCUUGUAAUAGCGACCAUUCUAUUCUGCUAUUAGAA